GCCCGCGUUGUCUAAUGGCUAUGACGUCAGACUUCUACACUUUCUGACUCUUUUCAAGUGUAUCAUCUGGAGGUUGCGGGUUCGAGUCCCGCCGUGGGUU